rnacentral:lncRNA from 1 species
GACUGUUCGAAGUAAAGGAGAGAGAUACCUCUAUUUAUUGAAGCAAAUAUUGAGAGAGAGACACCUCUAUUUAUUGAAUCAAAUAUACAAAAAAUGAAUCAUCCACCCCCAAGACACAUCAAAAUUUGUUAUUACAUCAGCCAGCAAAUCCAGAUGAAGCUGCCAAAUGAGUCUUCAUGCCUCUUAUCGAUUGAAGAGGGCAAAGAAGGAGAGGAGAGAAGUGGCAAAAAUGGCAGCAAGAGCAGGUGACACAAAAUUCGAUCCACUCUGCAUGGUGGGUGAGGGGGCCAUGGCCUCUUCUUUUGCCCCCACCAAAGCCACAAUCAAUAGAAGAGAAGCCAUGAAAGUGAGCUUGAGAGGUGCCAUUGUUGGUUUGUGCAGAUAAAUGUAAUAGACCUCUCUCCCCUGUUAAAAAUGAGAGCUUUAUGAAAGAGGGGAAAGAAAGAGGCUCCUGCUGUUGAGGAAGAAAAAGAGAUUCUAUUGUUGACGAAGAAAAGAGCCAUGGGUUUAUAUAUUUGAGAGAAGGAAGUGUGGGGGCAAUAAUGUGUGGAUACAACUGGGCAGAUGCCCCGCCACAUGGAAUGACUGGGCUGGUUUUAUGUUGGAAACUGAUUUGUUAGCCUCAUACAUUCAGCCAAUUAUCAUAUCACAUAUGUCAAACCUAU